rnacentral:rRNA from 1 species
GACGAACGCUGGCGGCGUGCUUAACACAUGCAAGUCGAACGGAAAGGCCCUGCUUUUGUGGGGUGCUCGAGUGGCGAACGGGUGAGUAACACGUGAGUAACCUGCCCUUGACUUUGGGAUAACUUCAGGAAACUGGGGCUAAUACCGGAUAGGAGCUCCUGCUGCAUGGUGGGGGUUGGAAAGUUUCGGCGGUUGGGGAUGGACUCGCGGCUUAUCAGCUUGUUGGUGGGGUAGUGGCUUACCAAGGCUUUGACGGGUAGCCGGCUUGAGAGGGUGACCGGCCACAUUGGGACUGAGAUACGGCCCAGACUCCUACGGGAGGCAGCAGUGGGGAAUAUUGCACAAUGGGCGGAAGCCUGAUGCAGCAAGGCCGCGUGCGGGAUGACGGCCUUCGGGUUGUAAACCGCUUUCGCCUGUGACGAAGCGUGAGUGACGGUAAUGGGUAAAGAAGCACCGGCUAACUACGUGCCAGCCGCCGCGGUAAUAC